rnacentral:lncRNA from 1 species
CUGAACCUUGUUAAGAACCCCAACCCAUUUCUCUCCUUCUUGUUGACGUUUCAUCGAACACCAUCAAGACACUACUAAAAAACCCAAAUUCCAUAUCCAUGGCUGCAGCUGUGGCUCCAAUCAAUCCCACCCUCCCACCAGUCCGUACGCGCACAGUCAAUCCUCCACCGAGCACCGGCGGAAGUGGGACUCCGAUCAUCCAAUCCCCUGAAUCAACCACCGCUGGUAUUCCUCCAGUGCUACAGCAAGCAAUCUCAUUGCAGCAACCCAGUAGCAAGAGAAGCAAUCCAUCCCGGCCGAAGAAGCUGC